GACGAACGCUGGCGGCGUGCCUAAUACAUGCAAGUCGAACGCAGUGGGGACGGGUGAGUAACACGUGGGUAACCUCCCAUCAGAGGGGAUAACACUUGGAAACAGGUGCUAAACCGAUACUGAUGGAUGGACCCGCGGUGCAUUAGCUAGUUGGGGAGGUAACGGCUCACCAAGGCCACGAUGCAUAGCCGACCUGAGAGGGUGAUCGGCCACACUGGGACUGAGACACGGCCCAGACUCCUACGGGAGGCAGCAGUGGGGAAUCUUGGGCAAUGGACGCAAGUCUGACCCAGCCACGCCGCGUGUGUGAAGAAGGUUUUCGGUUUGUAAAGCACUGUUGUUGGAGAAGCGGUACCUACAGAAGAAGCAACGGCUAACUACGUGCCAGCAGCCGCGGUAAUAC
rnacentral:rRNA from 1 species